rnacentral:rRNA from 1 species
CACGAACGCUGGCGGCAGGCUUAACACAUGCAAGUCGAGCGCCCCGCAAGGGGAGCGGCAGACGGGUGAGUAACGCGUGGGAAUCUACCCAUCUCUACGGAAUAACGCAUGGAAACGUGUGCUAAUACCGUAUACGUCCUUCGGGAGAAAGAUUUAUCGGAGAUGGAUGAGCGCGCGUCGGAUUAGGUAGUUGGUGGGGUAAAGGCCUACCAAGGCGACGAUCCAUAGCUGGUCUGAGAGGAUGAUCAGCCACACUGGGACUGAGUCACGGCCCAGACUCCUCCGGGAGGUAGCAGUGGUGAAAAUUUGACAAUGGGCGCAAGCCUGAUCCAGCCAUGCCGCGUGAGUGAUGAAGGCCCUAGGGUUGUAAAGCUCUUUCACCGGUGAGGAUAAUGACGGUAACCGGUGAAGAAGCCCCGGCUAACUACGUGCCAGCCGCCGCCGUAAGAC